rnacentral:rRNA from 1 species
CGCCAGCAGCCGCGGUAAUACGUAGGUGGCAAGCGUUGUCCGGAAUUAUUGGGCGUAAAGGGCGCGUAGGCGGUGCCUUAAGUCAGGUGUGAAAUACCCCGGCUCAACUGGGGUAGGCCACUUGAUACUGGGGCGCUAGAGUGCAGGAGAGGAAAGUGGAAUUCCAUGUGUAGCGGUGAAAUGCGUAGAUAUAUGGAGGAACACCAGUGGCGAAGGCGGCUUUCUGGACUGCAACUGACGCUGAGGCGCGAAAGCUGGGGGAGUGAACGGGAUUAGAUACCCCGGUAAUCCCAGCCGUAAACGAUGGAUGCUAGGUGUGGGAGGUAUCGACCCCUUCCGUGCCGCAGUCAACACAAUAAGCAUCCCGCCUGGGGAGUACGGCCGCAAGGUUGAAACUCAAAGGAAUUGACGGGGGCCCGCACAAGCC